GAUGAACGCUGGCGGCGUGCCUAAUACAUGCAAGUCGAGCGAACGGACGAGAAGCUUGCUUCUCUGAUGUUAGCGGCGGACGGGUGAGUAACACGUGGAUAACCUACCUAUAAGACUGGGAUAACUUCGGGAAACCGGAGCUAAUACCGGAUAAUAUUUUGAACCGCAUGGUUCAAAAGUGAAAGACGGUCUUGCUGUCACUUAUAGAUGGAUCCGCGCUGCAUUAGCUAGUUGGUAAGGUAACGGCUUACCAAGGCAACGAUGCAUAGCCGACCUGAGAGGGUGAUCGGCCGCACUGGAACUGAGACACGGUCCAGACUCCUACGGGAGGCAGCAGUAGGGAAUCUUCCGCAAUGGGCGAAAGCCUGACGGAGCAACGCCGAGUGAGUGAUGAAGGUCUUCGGAUCGUAAAACUCUGUUAUUAGGGAAGAACAUAUGUGUAAGUAACUGUGCACAUCUUGACGGUACCUAAUCAGAAAGCCACGGCUAACUACGUG
rnacentral:rRNA from 1 species